AAAUUACCCAAUCCCGAUACGGGGAGGUAGUGACAAUAAAUACUGAUACGGGGCUCUUUUGGGUCUCGUAAUUGGAAUGAGAACAAUUUAAAUCCCUUAACGAGGAACAAUUGGAGGGCAAGUCUGGUGCCAGCAGCCGCGGUAAUUCCAGCUCCNAUAGCGUAUAUUAAAGUUGUUGCAGUUAAAAAGCUCGUAGUUGAACCUUGGGUCUGGCUGGCCGGUCCGCCUCACCGCGAGUACUGGUCCGGCUGGACCUUUCCUUCUGGGGAACCCCAUGGCCUUCACUGGCUGUGGGGGGAACCAGGACUUUUACUGUGAAAAAAUUAGAGUGUUCAAAGCAGGCCUUUGCUCGAAUACAUUAGCAUGGAAUAAUAGAAUAGGACGUGUGGUUCUAUUUUGUUGGUUUCUAGGACCGCCGUAAUGAUUAAUAGGGAUAGUCGGGGGCGUCAGUAUUCAGCUGUCAGAGGUGAAAUUCUUGGAUUUGCUGAAGACUAACUACUGCGAAAGCAUUCGCCAAGGAUGUUUUCAUUAAUCAGGGAACGAAAGUUAGGGGAUCGAAGACGAUCAGAUACCGUCGUAGUCUUAACCAUNAACUAUGCCGACUAGGGAUCGGACGGGAUUCUAUAAUGACCCGUUCGGCNCCUUACGAGAAAUCNAAGUUUUUGGGUUCUGGGGGG
rnacentral:rRNA from 1 species